rnacentral:lncRNA from 1 species
AAACUCCAGGCACCUAAGCAAGCCCCACGCAGCCGUCUGCAUUUUUCAAUCCCUCCAACCUCGCCUUUUGCUAUUUCCCCCACCCCACCUACGGCACGUUCCGGUCAUAACCAACUAGCUCCUCGCUGAAACUGGCUCACACCGCGGAAGCCCGGGUCGGUGUCGGGGCGAGCCUUCCCUCCUUUUCCUGGAGCCCGUCUCAGAGUCUUGCUGUGUCACCCAGGCUGCCAGGCUGGAGUGGAGUGGCAUGAUCUCGGCUGACUGCAACCUCUGCCUCCCAGGUUCAAGCAAUUGCCCUGCCUCAGCCUCCCGAAUAGCUGGGAUUACAGGCACAUGCCACCACACCCGGCUGAUAUUUGUAUUUUUAGUAGAGACGGGGUUUUACCGUCUUGGCCAGGCUGGUCUUGAACUCCUGACUUCAGGUGAUCCACCCACCUUGGCCUCCCAAAGUGUUGGGAUUACAGGCCUGAGCCACCGUGCCCGGCAGUGCUUGGUCUUAUUAAACGCUUUAUGAAAGGCAGAACUGGGGCUCCCUUGCAUCUUCCAGUUACAAAUUCAGUGCCUUCUGCAGUUUCCCC